GUGAAUCAUCAAAUUUUUGAACGCAAAUUGCACUCUCCGGUUUUCCGGGAGAGUAUGCUUGUUUGAGGGUCAGCCUAAAUAAAAUCGUCUUAGUAGUUUGCUGUGUUUUUCACGGUAACGUUGGUCGGAAUUUGGGUCAUCUUAAACCGAAAGGUUUUUAAGCGACUUAAAAUUUUCUGACGAUUUCGCGAACGAUUUUAAGAUUUUCUUUCACGUUCAAGGUAUUGAUAUUAGACUUAUCAUUCGUAUCGGAUCGCUG
rnacentral:misc_RNA from 1 species